GCUAUNANANACNNUGGAACGGUGGCUAAUACCGGGUAUGCCGAGAGGUGAAAGGUUAACUGCCUGGAGAUGAGCUCGCGUCUGAUUAGCUAGUUGGUGGUGUAAGGGACUACCAAGGCGACGAUCAGUAGCUGGUCUGAGAGGAUGAUCAGCCACACUGGAACUGAGACACGGUCCAGACUCCUACGGGAGGCAGCAGUGGGGAAUUUUCCGCAAUGGGCGAAAGCCUGACGGAGCAAUACCGCGUGAGGGAGGAAGGCUCUUGGGUUGUAAACCUCUUUUCUCAGGGAAUAAGCAAGUGAAGGUACCUGAGGAAUCAGCAUCGGCUAACUCCGUGCCAGCAGCCGCGGUAAUACGGAGGAUGCAAGCGUUAUCCGGAAUGAUUGGGCGUAAAGCGUCCGUAGGUGGCUGUGUGUGUCUAUUGUUAAAGAGUUUGGCUCAACCAAAUAAGGGCGGUAGAAACUACACAGCUAGAGUGCGUUCGGGGCAGAGGGAAUUCCUGGUGUAGCGGUGAAAUGCGUAGAGAUCACGAAGAACACCGGUGGCGAAAGCGCUCUGCUAGGCCGCAACUGACACUGAGGGACGAAAGCUAGGGGAGCGAAUGGGAUUAGAUACCCCAGUAGAUUCAGNNU
rnacentral:rRNA from 1 species